UGGCCAACCCUGGUCCACGGUAUCUACCACCGGGAUGUUCAUAACCCUUUGUUGUCCGACUCUGUUGCCUCCGGGGCGACCCUGCCUUCGGGCGGGGGCUCCGGGUGGACACUUCAAACUCUUGCGUAACUUUGCAGUCUGAGUAAACUUAAUUAAUAAAUUAAAACUUUUAACAACGGAUCUCUUGGUUCUGGCAUCGAUGAAGAACGCAGCGAAAUGCGAUAAGUAAUGUGAAUUGCAGAAUUCAGUGAAUCAUCGAAUCUUUGAACGCACAUUGCGCCCCCUGGUAUUCCGGGGGGCAUGCCUGUUCGAGCGUCAUUUCACCACUCAAGCCUCGCUUGGUAUUGGGCAACGCGGUCCGCCGCGUGCCUCAAAUCGACCGGCUGGGUCUUCUGUCCCCUAAGCGUUGUGGAAACUAUUCGCUAAAGGGUGCUCGGGAGGCUACGCCGUAAAACAAACCCAUUUCUAAGGUUGACCUCGGAUCAGGUAGGGAUACCCGCUGAACUUAAGCAUAUCAAUAAGCGGAGGAA
rnacentral:rRNA from 1 species